rnacentral:rRNA from 1 species
UACGGAGGGUGCAAGCGUUAUCCGGAAUCACUGGGUUUAAAGGGUGCGUAGGCGGUUCGAUAAGUCAGUUGUGAAAUUCCCUCGCUUAACGAGUGGGACUGCGAUUGAUACUGUUGAACUUGAAUCAGGUUGAGGUAGGCGGAAUGUGACAUGUAGCGGUGAAAUGCAUAGAUAUGUCAUAGAACACCGAUUGCGAAGGCAGCUUGCUGGACCUGUAUUGACGCUGAGGCACGAAAGCGUGGGGAGCAAACAGG